GGGGAUUUGGCUCAGUGGUAGAGCGCUUGCCUAGCAAGCGCAAGGCCCUGGGUUCGAUCCCCAGCUCCA
rfam:Rattus norvegicus chromosome 2, whole genome shotgun sequence.